rnacentral:rRNA from 1 species
UACCACCACCCCGAGUGGUCGGGACGUUUAUUGGGCCUAAAGCAUCCGUAGCCGGUUCUACAAGUCUUCCGUUAAAUCCACCUGCUUAACAGAUGGGCUGCGGAAGAUACUAUGGAGCUAGGAGGCGGGAGAGGCAAGCGGUACUCGAUGGGUAGGGGUAAAAUCCGUUGAUCCAUUGAAGACCACCAGUGGCGAAGGCGGCUUGCCAGAACGCGCUCGACGGUGAGGGAUGAAAGCUGGGGGAGCAAACCGG